rnacentral:rRNA from 1 species
AUUGAACGCUGGCGGCAGGCUUAACACAUGCAAGUCGAGCGGGGGAAGGUAGCUUGCUACCGGACCUAGCGGCGGACGGGUGAGUAAUGCUUAGGAAUCUGCCUAUUAGUGGGGGACAACAUCUCGAAAGGGAUGCUAAUACCGCAUACGUCCUACGGGAGAAAGCAGGGGAUCUUCGGACCUUGCGCUAAUAGAUGAGCCUAAGUCGGAUUAGCUAGUUGGUGGGGUAAAGGCCUACCAAGGCGACGAUCUGUAGCGGGUCUGGGAGGAUGAUCCGCCACACUGGGACUGAGACACGGCCCAAACUCCUACGGGAGGCAGCAGUGGGGAAUAUUGGACAAUGGGGGGAACCCUGAUCCAGCCAUGCCGCGUGUGUGAAGAAGGCCUUAUGGUUGUAAAGCACUUUAAGCGAGGAGGAGGCUACUCUAGUUAAUACCUAGGGAUAGUGGACGUUACUCGCAGAAUAAGCACCGGCUAACUCUGUGCCAGCCGCCGCGGUAA